rnacentral:rRNA from 1 species
UACGGAGGAUGCAAGCGUUAUCCGGAUUUAUUGGGUUUAAAGGGUGCGUAGGCGGGACAAUAAGUCAGUGGUGAAAUCCUAUAGCUUAACUAUAGAACUGCCAUUGAUACUGUUGUUCUUGAGUCCAGUUGAGGUGGGCGGAAUGUAUAAUGUAGCGGUGAAAUGCUUAGAUAUUUUACAGAACGCCAAUUGCGAAGGCAGCUCACUAAACUGGUACUGACGCUGAGGCACGAAAGCGUGGGGAGCGAACAGGAUUAGAUACCCGUGUA